rnacentral:rRNA from 1 species
GACGAACGCUGGCGGCGUGCCUAAUACAUGCAAGUGGAACGCACGAGGUACACCGUAGUUUACUACACCGUACUUUGUGAGUCGCGAACGGGUGAGUAACGCGUAGGUAACCUACCUUUUAGCGGGGGAUAACUAUUGGAAACGAUAGCUAAUACCGCAUAAGAUAUCUUACUGCAUAGUAAGAUAUUAAAAGAUGCAAUUGCAUCACUAAGAGAUGGACCUGCGUUGUAUUAGCUAGUAGGUGAGGUAACGGCUCACCUAGGCAACGAUACAUAGCCGACCUGAGAGGGUGAUCGGCCACACUGGGACUGAGACACGGCCCAGACUCCUACGGGAGGCAGCAGUAGGGAAUCUUCGGCAAUGGGGGGAACCCUGACCGAGCAACGCCGCGUGAGUGAAGAAGGUUUUCGGAUCGUAAAGCUCUGUUGUAAGAGAAGAACGAGUGUG